UCCGAGUUGACCCCGGCAGUCUUCUAUGAGUCCCCGCCAUUACGCGCUGGCAACAUAGAACGAGGGUUGCGCUCGUUGCGGGACUUAACCCAACAUCUCACGACACGAGCUGACGACAACCAUGCACCACCUGUAUACCGACCACAAGGGGGGCCGUAUCUCUACGGCUUUCCGGUAUAUGUCAAACCCAGGUAAGGUGGGGAUGACGUACUUGCUAGGUAA
rnacentral:misc_RNA from 1 species